GUGCUCGCUUUGGUAGCACAUAUCGUAAAUUAGAAAGAUAUAGAGAUUAGCAUAGUCCAUGUGCAAAGGUGACAUGUAAAUUUAUGAAGCAUUCUAUAUAUUU
rnacentral:snRNA from 1 species